CCUAUAGAAAAAAGGGAAUAGAUAGCUAUAGAGAAUAACAAUAGGAGAGGUAAUUGAAAGAUGCGAUUAAUUACAAUAUUUAAGUAUGGAAAUCAAUACUAUAAUAAUAACCUAGACAAAGAAGUUAAGGUGUAAACCAUUCUAAGCUAGAAAUAGUGAAAAUAAUUGGAAAUAUCUGAACUGAAACAUCUAAGUAAGAUAGUAAUAAACCAAUAGGGAAUACUUGAGUACCGGUGAGGGAAAAAGUAUAAGUAUGCAAGUAACAUUAUGUAAUGUGAAAAUAGUAGAGCUACUACUAAUACUAGAAAAUUAUUAUAAGUAAAAAGUACCGUGAGGGAAUGAUAAAAAUAAUAAAUUAUAACGUCUUUAGUUAGAGAAAUACUGGCUAUUAGAAGUGAAUAAAGAAAUACUUAAAUAAAGAGCAGCUAUAGUAUAGCGUACCUCUUGUAUAAUGGGUCAGUGAGUUAAUUGUAUUAGCGAAAUGAGUAACUAAAUAUAAUAAGUAAAGUUAAUAUGAUUAGACCCGAAAGUAUAUGAUCUAUACAUGAUCAGGUUAUGUAGUAUAAAGUUAUAUUAUGUAGACCGAACAGGUGGGUGUUGCAAUACCUUCUGAAGAAUUGUGUAUCGAUGUGAAAGGCUACUCUCAUAUACAGAUAGCUGGUUAUCUGUGAAAUAUAUCUUAGUAUAGCUAUUAAUGAAUAUCACUAGGUAAAUCACUUGAUUUGAAAAUUAAUGUAGGUAAAAUUACGUUAUUAUGGGAGUUAUUAGAACUUAUCAUACGAAUCAAAUAUCUGAACUAGCUGACUAUUGAAAUUAAUAAGUCAAUCUUGGUGCGAUAAGGUACCAGGAUGAAAAGGGAAUAACCUAGACUAUUACAUGUAAGUCCUCAAUAAUAAUUAAGUGGUAUGAAUCCUAUAGUAUAUGACAUUAUACAACUUCUAAUAAGACAAUUUAUCAGUGGAUAUGAUAGUAAUCAUCUGCUAAAGAACGUGUAACAACGCAUAAAUUGAUACAUAGAUAAUAGGAAUAGAUAUACAGGCCUAAAUUAUUGACUGAAUAAUAGAUAUUAUAGGGAUUAACUAUAAUAUGGUAACAGAUUAUACUAUGAGAAAAAUAGUACAAAAUAUGCUGACUUGAGUAACGUAAGUAAAGAUAAGCUUUACCUCCUAUAUACAAGGUUUAACUAUAAAUGAACGGUCUCUAAUUAUGUAUAUGAGAAUAUAAGUAAGAUGAGCAAUAUGACUAGAAAUAAGAAUAACCGUACUGUAAACCGACUCUGGUGUAUUGAAAGGAGUAUGAGAAAAGCCAUAUGAAUGAACUCGGCAAUAAGGAUUUAACCCCUUUAAUAUAGUGCGACUGUUUACCAAAAACAUAGCCUAUUGCAGUUUUGAAAGAAAUAGUAUAAUAGGUGCUACCUGCCCAGUGUUAGAUAGAUAAUACAUAAUGAUUUAAUAAACGGCGGUCUUAUCAUGAGGAUCCGAAGGUAGCGAAAUUCCUAGACGUUUAAUUGGCGUCCUGCAUGAAUGAGUACACGAUGCUAUAGAUGUAUCCAUAUGGUUCUCAGUGAAAUAGUAAUUGCAGUGAAGAUACUGUAUAGCAAUAGAUUGACGAGAAGACCCUAUACAGCUUUACUAUAGAGUUAUCUUGUUAGUUAUUUACCUUAUCUUAAUCAAUCCUUUAGGUUUUAAAAUGAGUAAAUAAUUGACUAAUCAUACUAUUAUGAAACAGGGUAACUUGGUUAGUUUCGAUGGGGCGUCGACAUCACAAAGAAUAACUGAUGUGUCUAAAUGAUUUGUUUGUAUUUUACCUUAGUUAAAUAAGGUUUUAACAGAAUGACUAGAUACAGUAAUGCUAAAUGGUAAUUAGUAAAUAUCUAAUAUAGAAAUUAUAUAGAUAGGGGAUAAGGAUAAUAACUUAACUGUGUUAUGAUAAGAUAACUAACAGGUUAUUUUAGUACGUAAGUAUAGUAUAGUGAACAGACAAUAACUAGAGCAUAGUAUGUCGAUAGCGGAUCAAAGUUACGUUAGGGAUAACAGGGUAAUACCGCUAGAGAGUUGAUAUCGUCAGCGGUGUUUGCCACCUCGAUGUCGUCUAGGCUCAACCUUAUGGUCGCAGCAACUAUAAAGGGUAUGACUGUUCGUCAUUUAAGGAGCUACUUGAGAUGGGUUAAUUACGGCGUGAGCCAGUAAUGUUUCUAUCAUCUAUUGCAUUUUAACAUAUAUUAAAUUACAUGUGUACGAGAGGAUUAUGUAAUCUAUAUCAAUGGUUCUAACUUUAACUUAGCCAAUCUAAUUAGAGUUAUACGCUAAAUAUAGUAGCAAUAAGUAUUGACAGCAUAUCAAAUACUAAGUCUAUAACUAUAUGUUUAUAAGGCAUUAAAGAUAAUAAUGUGGUAGUAUAUCUUACUUAGAAUGUAUGUAUACUAAUAUAAGGAUAAUCAUCCAAAUUAAUCAGUAUAACAAUUACCUCAAAAAGUACCAA
rnacentral:rRNA from 1 species